CAGCCGCCGCGGGAAUACGUAGGUGGCGAGCGUUGUCCGGAAUUAUUGGGCGUAAAGGGAGCGCAGGCGGACAUAUAAGUCCAUCUUAAAAGUGCGGGGCUCAACCCCGUGAGGGGAUGGAAACUGUAUGCCUUGAGUGCAGGAGAGGAAAGCGGAAUUCCCAGUGUAGCGGUGAAAUGCGUAGAUAUAUGGAGGAACACCGGUGGCGAAAGCGGCUCUCUGGUCUGUAACUGACGCUGAGGCUCGAAAGCGUGGGAGCGAACGGGAUUAGAUACCCCAGUAGUCCCUGUCUCUUAUACAC
rnacentral:rRNA from 1 species